rnacentral:piRNA from 1 species
UAGGGUUUCAACCUCAUUUCA